ensembl:lncRNA
UACAAAGGAGGAGUCUAUGGCUCAGAGAGGGAAGGGGGCUUGCCAUAUGUCACACAGCUAAUCAAUAGCAGGUUGAAUGCUGCACUUCUGGGCUCCUGCCCCCAGCCUGCCCUCAGAUGUCCUAACCCAUGGAGGUCAGGCCCCUGAAGCUUAUCUCCCUGGAGCAGGGUAGGAGAUGAGGGAGGGCUGGCAUGGGUCCAUCCACACUCUGGAUUCUCCAAACUUUGGGGUCUGUGAAGACAUUCUGGAAAGAUCUAUGUUUCAGAGGUAGACUGCAGGAAGCCAAGCAGCUCCCCAGUUGCCCUGACAUGGCCUGAGCUCCGGCCUUUCCCACAGGUAUACCCACAUAUCACCACUGACAGGCCCGGCCUGGAAACCUAGUUUGCCCCAUGUCUUGACAGCCUAGGGGGCCAAGUCCCCAGUGGGUUGGGGAGAGCCUGGCAUACAGGAGGCACUGAGGACCACUGGCCCAGCUGCAGGGGGCCAUACCCCAAAGAUGUUCCGGGUGUUAGUACUCGGGAGACUUGCCUCCUCUCAAGGCUGGUAUGUCCAGUGCGUCUAGACAGGCCUGGCAAGUGCCCAUGUGUUCAGCUGUGGGUGUGACAGAAGCUGGCUCUGGAAUGGAGGACUGGAGAACGAGGAUGACCCCUGGUCUUGUCACUGCUGUUUUGCAAUGAAUUUCCUUUAUCUUCCUGAACACAAACUGCUGCGAACCAGACUGAUAUCAGGUGAUUGGCUCACCGGGCCAUGGCUGCUUCUCAAAGGUACCCUCCAGCAGGACUAGAGUCAUCACCCACAGCAGGAGGGACCCAGGGCACAUGUGUCCUGGCCAGCACCAUUCAGCUCCCCCUCCAAGAUCUCUGACAGGCGGCGAGUCAGCCUCUGUGAAUGAAAAGCUAUAGUGAUGGGGACUCGCUGCCUCCCAGGGCAGACUGUUACACUCUCUGCCAUAGCACUGCCACUCAUUCAUUGCCCGGCAUUUAUUGAGCAGCUACUAAGUGCCAGCUAGUGCGUCCUGGAGGACCUCAUAGCCUCAUGGGGUGACAGUAAGUAAACACACAUUAUAACUCAACAAUUCAACUCAGUAAAUGUUUCUUGUACAGAUAGUAUGUCAGGUCUUGGGUGGGGGGAGUAGACAAUUUUAAUAUGGGGAAGGAGCAGAACACAGGGGCACUCCAUCCAGCUGUGGGGGUCAGAGGGAACUUCAGGGGUGACUUCUAGACUGGGAUCUGAAGCAUGACUGGGAACUGACUGGGCUGAGAGUAGGGGAAGGGCAGGCCAGGCAGAGCCACCAGAUGGGCCAUGUCUUGGAGGAGAGAGGCAAAUAGGGAGGGCCAGCAGAUGGAGGGCUUGGCACGCUCGUGGGACUGGUGAAGUUCUGGAAGUGGGGACCAGAGAGGGAAGCAGGGGCUGGGUUCUGAGGGGCCUUGUAGCCACGCUAGGAAGCUUAGUUAUUCAAGGAUAAUGGGCGCUUUCCCACUAGAUGGUAGGGUUUAAGCUGGGAUUGAUACAGUAGAUUUGCCUCACAGCUCUUCCUUGGGUAGAGCUUCCAUCUGCUUCCCUGUGACUGCUCUGCCAGCUCAUUGUUCUGCCCUGUGGGCCCAUACUUCACACGCCUAAUCCCUCUUCCCAUUAGAAUCCUGAGGUGGGCAGGUCAACUCCCAAGGUCAUUGUCUCUUCCCAGGUUCCUACAGACAUCCAGCUCCCUGAGGCUGGAGUUGGGAGAGGGAAGAGAAGGAGGCUGGAUCUUCAGUCGGUGCCAGAAGAGACUUCCUUGGCCACGGUUUCUCAAAGUGUGGUCUGAAGAUAACUUGCAUUUGAGUCAUUAGGGAGGUUUUUUGGUUUUAUUUUAUUUUAUUGUUUGUUUUUGUUUUUAAUACAGAUUUCUAGGC